AGUGGGGAAUUUUGGACAAUGGGCGCAAGCCUGAUCCAGCAAUGCCGCGUGCAGGAAGAAGGCCUUCGGGUUGUAAACUGCUUUUGUACGGAACGAAACGGUUCUCUCUAAUACAGGGGGCUAAUGACGGUACCGUAAGAAUAAGCACCGGCUAACUACGUGCCAGCAGCCGCGGUAAUACGUAGGGUGCAAGCGUUAAUCGGAAUUACUGGGCGUAAAGCGUGCGCAGGCGGUUUUGUAAGACAGAGGUGAAAUCCCCGGGCUCAACCUGGGAACUGCCUUUGUGACUGCAAAGCUGGAGUGCGGCAGAGGGGGAUGGAAUUCCGCGUGUAGCAGUGAAAUGCGUAGAUAUGCGGAGGAACACCGAUGGCGAAGGCAAUCCCCUGGGCCUGCACUGACGCUCAUGCACGAAAGCGUGGGGAGCAAACAGGAUUAGAUACCCUGGUAGUCCACGCCCUAAACGAUGUCAACUGGUUGUUGGGUCUCUUCUGACUCAGUAACGAAGCUAACGCGUGAAGUUGACCGCCUGGGGAGUACGGCCGCAAGG
rnacentral:rRNA from 1 species